UUCCCGUGGCGGCGGCUUACCAUGCAGUCGAGCGGUAGCACAGGGGAGCUUGCUCCCUGGGUGACGAGCGGCGGACGGGUGAGUAUGUCUGGGAACUGCCUGAUGGAGGGGGAUAACUACUGGAAACGGUAGCUAAUACCGCAUAACGUCGCAAGACCAAAGAGGGGGACCUUCGGGCCUCUUGCCAUCAGAUGUGCCCAGAUGGGAUUAGCUAGUAGGUGGGGUAAUGGCUCACCUAGGCGACGAUCCCUAGCUGGUCUGAGAGGAUGACCAGCCACACUGGAACUGAGACACGGUCCAGACUCCUACGGGAGGCAGCAGUGGGGAAUAUUGCACAAUGGGCGCGAGCCUGAUGCAGCCAUGCCGCGUGUGUGAAGAAGGCCUUCGGGUUGUAAAGCACUUUCAGCGAGGAGGAAGGUGGUGAGCUUAAUACGCUCAUCAAUUGACGUUACUCGCAGAAGAAGCACCGGCUAACUCCGUGCCAGCAGCCGCGGUAAUACGGAGGGUGCAAGCGUUAAUCGGAAUUACUGGGCGUAAAGCGCACGCAGGCGGUUUGUUAAGUCAGAUGUGAAAUCCCCGGGCUCAACCUGGGAACUGCAUUUGAAACUGGCAAGCUAGAGUCUCGUAGAGGGGGAGUAGAAUUCCAGGUGUAGCGGUGAAAUGCGUAGAGAUCUGGAGGAUACCGGUGGCGACGCGGCCCCUGGACUGAGACUGACGCUCAGUGCGAAAGCGUGGGGAGCAACAGGAUUCGAUACCUGCUAGUCAAGCUGUAAACGAUGUCGAUUGGAGUUGUGCCCUGGAGGCUUGCUCGGAGCUACGCGAAUUCGACGGCUGGGGGAGUACGCCGCAAGGUUAAACUUCAAAUGAAUUGGACGGGGGGCCCGGCACAAGCCG
rnacentral:rRNA from 1 species